AGCGAACGCUGGCGGCAGGCCUAACACAUGCAAGUCGAACGAAGUCUUCGGACUUAGUGGCGGACGGGUGAGUAACACGUGGGAACGUGCCUUUAGGUUCGGAAUAACUCAGGGAAACAUGUACUAAUACCGAAUGUGCCCUUCGGGGGAAAGAUUUAUCGCCUUUAGAGCGGCCCGCGUCUGAUUAGCUAGUUGGUGAGGUAAAGGCUCACCAAGGCUACGAUCAGUAGCUGGUCUGAGAGGAUGACCAGCCACAUUGGGACUGAGACACGGCCCAAACUCCUACGGGAGGCAGCAGUGAGGAAUCUUGCGCAAUGGGCGAAAGCCUGACGCAGCCAUGCCGCGUGGAUGAUGAAGGUCUUAGGAUUGUAAAAUCCUUUCACCGGUGAAGAUAAUGACUGUAGCCGGAGAAGAAGCCCCGGCUAACUUCGUGCCAGCCGCCGCGGUAAAAC
rnacentral:rRNA from 1 species